rnacentral:tRNA from 1 species
GGGGCUAUAGGUUAAUUAGACCUUUGGCCUUCAAAGCCGAGAGUGCUCAGGCUAGCCUUG